rnacentral:ncRNA from 1 species
UGAUUCAAGAUGUUCAAAAAGCAUUUGGUAAUAUGAAAUUAUGGCAGAAGAGAGAGAUCCUGGGAUUUAUUUACGUGACUUUACCAAUGCUGAAGACACUAAAGCUAAGGCACAAACUGGGAUUAGAGACCCCACUAUGCUUAGCCGUAAACCUAGGUAAUUAAAUAACAAAAUUACUUGCCAGAGAACUACUAGCCACUGCUUAAAACUCAAAGGACUUGGCGGUGCCCUAGACCCUCCUAGAGGAGCCUGUUCUAUAAUCGAUAAACCCCGAUACACCUCACCCCUUCUCGCUUAUCAAUCUAUAUACCGCCAUCGUCAGCUCACCCCAAUAGGGUCCCAAAGUGAGUAAAAUCAUGAAACCAUAAAAACGUUAGGUCAAGGUGUAGCAUAUGAAGGGGGAAGCAAUAGGCUACAUUUUCUAUAUUAGAACACAACGGAUUGUCUACAGAAAUAAAGACAUGAAGGAGGAUUUAGUAGUAAAUUAAGAAUAGAGAGCUUAGUUGAAAUAGGCAAUAGGGUGCGUACACACCGCCUGUCACCCUCCUCAAUAAAGUAACCUUCAAUGCCUAAUUAGAAUAUAUCAAAAAGAGGAGAAAAGUCGUAACAUGGUAAGUGUACUGGAAAGUGCACUUGGACAAUCAAAAUG